rnacentral:rRNA from 1 species
AGAGUUUGAUCCUGGCUCAGAGCGAACGCUGGCGGCAUGCUUAACACAUGCAAGUCGCACGGCCGGCAACGGCAGUGGCGGACGGGUGAGUAACGCGUAGGAAUCUGUCUCUGGGUGGGGGAUAACUGCGGGAAACUGCAGCUAAUACCGCAUGAAGCCUGAGGGCCAAAGGCGCGAGUCGCCUGGAGAGGAGCCUGCGU